GCUUUCGUGGUGUAGUGGUCAGCACGCUUAUCGCGUGACCGAGAGAUCCGUGGUUCGAUUCCCGGCGAAGGCG
rnacentral:tRNA from 1 species